rnacentral:rRNA from 1 species
AUACGUAGGGUGCGAGCGUUAUCCGGAAUCAUUGGGCGUAAAGAGCUCGUAGGCGGUUCAGCAAGUCGGCUGUGAAAGUUCGAGGCUCAACCUCGAAAUUGCAGUCGAUACUGCUGUGACUCGAGUCCGGUAGAGGAGAAUGGAAUUCUCGGUGUAGCGGUGAAAUGCGCAGAUAUCGAGAGGAACACCAGUAGCGAAGGCGGUUCUCUGGGCCGGCACUGACGCUGAGGAGCGAAAGCGUGGGGAGCAAACAGGAUUAGAAACCCUAGUAGUCC